AGUGAACGCUGGCGGCGUGCCUAAUACAUGCAAGUCGAACGGAGUGGAGCACGGGUGAGUAAUAUAUAGCUAAUCUGCCCCUUGCUGGAGGACAACAGUUAGAAAUGACUGCUAAUACCCCAUAGCAAGGGAUGAGACUAUAUCGUAAAAGUUAGACGGUGGGGUAACGGCCUACCGAGGCUAUGACGCGUAACUGGUCUGAAAGGAUGAUCAGGCACAUUGGAACGGAUACACGGUCCAAACACCAACGAGAGGGAGCAUGGCAAUAUUGCGAAAAGGGCGAAACCCUGACGCAGCAACGCCGCGUGGAGGAUGACGCUUUGCGGAGCGUAAACGCCUUUUGUUAGGGAAGCGGUGCCUAUCGAAUAAGCACCGGCUAACUCCGUGCCAGCAGCCGCGGUAAUAC
rnacentral:rRNA from 1 species